rnacentral:lncRNA from 1 species
AGCCACCUGCUCCUGGGAAAGCAUCUCAGAGACCCCUCACUGUUUGUGGAGAAGGGACCAGCUGCCCUCCUCCAACACCCCCUGCCUCUUCUUGGAGCCUCUGCAGCUUGCAGGUCAGAGACCUCCCUGACAACCCUCGGGCCUGCUAUCCCCUCUCUUCACCACAUUCUCCCCUUGAGUUUCUUUUCCUUCAACACUACAAUCAGUACUUCUUAUAGUUGACACAGAUGACACCCUAUGGCAAGGUG